rnacentral:rRNA from 1 species
AACGAACGCUGGCGGCAGGCUUAACACAUGCAAGUCGAUCGCCCCGCAAGGGGAGCGGCAGACGGGUGAGUAACGCGUGGGAAUCUACCCAUCUCUACGGAAUAACGCAUGGAAACGUGUGCUAAUACCGUAUACGUCCUUCGGGAGAAAGAUUUAUCGGAGAUGGAUGAGCCCGCGUUGGAUUAGCUAGUUGGGGGGGUAAAGGCCUACCAAGGCGACGAUCCAUAGCUGGUCUGAGAGGAUGAUCAGCCAAACUGGGACUGAGACACGGCCCAGACUCCUACGGGAGGCAGCAGUGGGGAAUAUUGGACAAUGGGCGCAAGCCUGAUCCAGCCAUGCCGCGUGAGUGAUGAAGGCCCUAGGGUUGUAAAGCUCUUUCACCGGUGAAGAUAAUGACGGUAACCGGAGAAGAAGCCCCGGCUAACUUCGUGCCAGCCGCCGCGGUAAGAC